GCCUAUAUGCUGAGCUGUUGGGAAGGGGCACUACUGUAGCUGCCUUGAGCUCAGUGGUGCGCUAGACCUGCCCACAAGGCCAGGAGUCUUACUUCAGGAUUUUUGCUGCACAACUUGUGAGCAUCUUGUAGCACAGACUUCUUCACAGUGGGGCACUUGGCUUUCUGCUCACCAGCUGUGAGAGCCCAGAGUUGGAAACACUGUCACUGGUCUGUCAGCCUCAAUGGAGGCAGAAAAUUCCCUUCUCUGUGUCCUUUUGCUUCCCA